rnacentral:misc_RNA from 1 species
GCGGUUGCUGCUUCUUCCCCGGGGAGGUUUAUCGGAUCUUGAUGGAGACCCAUAUCGGAUCCGUGGACGGGGCGGCGGCGGCGGCGGACAACGGCGCGGUGGGGUGCCCGGCGUCGGCGGUGGGGUGCCCGAUGACCUCGGCGCGCCCCGCGCCCGUGUCGGCCGGCGAGGCGUCGCUGGGACGGCACCUGGCGAGGCGGCUGGUGCAGGUGGGCGUCAGCGACGUGUUCGCCGUGCCCGGGGACUUCAACCUCACGCUGCUCGACCACCUGAUCGCCGAGCCCGGGCUGCGCCUCGUCGGCUGCUGUAACGAGCUCAACGCCGGGUACGCGGCCGACGGCUACGCCCGCGC